rnacentral:rRNA from 1 species
GAUGAACGCUGGCGGCGUGCCUAAUACAUGCAAGUCGAGCGAACAGAUAAGGAGCUUGCUCCUUUGACGUUAGCGGCGGACGGGUGAGUAACACGUGGGUAACCUACCUAGAAGACUGGAAUAACUCCGGGAAACCGGGGCUAAUGCAGGAUAACAUUUAGAACCGCAUGGUUCUAAAGUGAAAGAUGGUUUUGCUAUCACUUAUAGAUGGACCCGCGCCGUAUUAGCUAGUUGGUAAGGUAACGGCUUACCAAGGCAACGAUACGUAGCCGACCUGAGAGGGUGAUCGGCCACACUGGAACUGAGACACGGUCCAGACUCCUACGGGAGGCAGCAGUAGGGAAUCUUCCGCAAUGGGCGAAAGCCUGACGGAGCAACGCCGCGUGAGUGAUGAAGGUCUUCGGAUCGUAAAACUCUGUUAUUAGGGAAGAACAAAUGUGUAAGUAACUGUGCACGUCUUGACGGUACCUAAUCAGAAAGCCACGGCUAACUACGUG